rnacentral:rRNA from 1 species
GACGAACGCUGGCGGCGUGCCUAAUACAUGCAAGUUGAGCGAUGAAGCUUGGUGCUUGCACCAAUUUGAAGAGCAGCGAACGGGUGAGUAACGCGUGGGGAAUCUGCCUUUGAGCGGGGGACAACAUUUGGAAACGAAUGCUAAUACCGCAUAACAACUUUAAACAUAAGUUUUAAGUUUGAAAGAUGCAAUUGCAUCACUCAAAGAUGAUCCCGCGUUGUAUUAGCUAGUUGGUGAGGUAAAGGCUCACCAAGGCGAUGAUACAUAGCCGACUUGAGAGGGUGAUCGGCCACAUUGGGACUGAGACACGGCCCAAACUCCUACGGGAGGCAGCAGUAGGGAAUCUUCGGCAAUGGACGAAAGUCUGACCGAGCAACGCCGCGUGAGUGAAGAAGGUUUUCGGAUCGUAAAACUCGGUUGGUAGAGAAGAACGUUGGUGAGAGUGGAAAGCUCAUCAAGUGACGGUAACUACCCAGAAAGGGACGGCUAACUACGUG